rnacentral:rRNA from 1 species
ACAAGCAGUGGGAGCACAGGUUUACCUGUGUGACUGCGUACCUUUUGUAUAAUGGGUCAGCGACUUAUAUUCUGUAGCAAGGUUAACCGAAUAGGGGAGCCGGAGGGAAACCGAGUCUUAAUUGGGCGUUAAGUUGCAGGGUAUAGACCCGAAACCCGGUGAUCUAGCCAUGGGCAGGUUGAAGGUUGGGUAACACUAACUGGAGGACCGAACCGACUAAUGUUGAAAAAUUAGCGGAUGACCUGUGGCUGGGGGUGAAAGGCCAAUCAAACCGGGAGAUAGCUGGUUCUCCCCGAAAGCUAUUUAGGUAGCGCCUCGUGAAUUCAUCUCCGGGGGUAGAGCACUGUUUCGGCUAGGGGGCCAUCCCGGCUUACCAACCCGAUGCAAACUGCGAAUACCGGAGAAUGUUAUCACGGGAGACACACGGCGGGUGCUAACGUCCGUCGUGAAGAGGGAAACAACCCAGACCGCCAGCUAAGGUCCCAAAGUCAUGGUUAAGUGGGAAACGAUGUGGGAAGGCCCAGACAGCCAGGAUGUUGGCUUAGAAGCAGCCAUCAUUUAAAGAAAGCGUAAUAGCUCACUGGUCGAGUCGGCCUGCGCGGAAGAUGUAACGGGGCUAAACCAUGCACCGAAGCUGCGGCAGCGACACUAUGUGUUGUUGGGUAGGGGAGCGUUCUGUAAGCCUGUGAAGGUGGCCUGUGAGGGUUGCUGGAGGUAUCAGAAGUGCGAAUGCUGACAUAAGUAACGAUAAAGCGGGUGAAAAGCCCGCUCGCCGGAAGACCAAGGGUUCCUGUCCAACGUUAAUCGGGGCAGGGUGAGUCGACCCCUAAGGCGAGGCCGAAAGGCGUAGUCGAUGGGAAACGGGUUAAUAUU